UUUUCUUUUACAAUACUAUUAAACUAUAAUUAAAUUUAUUUUUUCUUUAAACAAUACUAAAACUUUUUUCUAUAAAAUUAUUUUUAAUACAUUAAAUUUAAAAUAAAUAAAAUUAAUAAAUAAAAUCUAU
rnacentral:rRNA from 1 species